AUUGAACGCUGGCGGCAGGCUUAACACAUGCAAGUCGAGCGGAGCGAGGGUGCUUGCACCUUAGCUUAGCGGCGGACGGGUGACUAAUGCUUAGGAAUCUGCCUAUUAGUGGGGGACAACAUCUCGAAAGGGAUGCUAAUACCGCAUACGUCCUACGGGAGAAAGCAGGGGAUCACUUGUGACCUUGCGCUAAUAGAUGAGCCUAAGUCGGAUUAGCUAGUUGGUGGGGUAAAGGCCUACCAAGGCGACGAUCUGUAGCGGGUCUGAGAGGAUGAUCCGCCACACUGGGACUGAGACACGGCCCAGACUCCUACGGGAGACAGCAGUGGGGAAUAUUGGACAAUGGGGGGGACCCUGAUCCAGCCAUGCCGCGUGUGUGAAGAAGGCCUUAUGGUUGUAAAGCACUUUAAGCGAGGAGGAGGCUCCUUUGGUUAAUACCCAAGAUGAGUGGACGUUACUCGCAGAAUAAGCACCGGCUAACUCUGUGCCAGCCGCCGCCGUAA
rnacentral:rRNA from 1 species